rnacentral:rRNA from 1 species
GAACCUACGGGAGGCAGCAGUGGGGGAUAUUGCACAAUGGGGGGAACCCUGAUGCAGCUACUCCGCGUGUGUGAAGAAGCGCCUCGGCGCGUAAAGCCCUGUCAGCAGGGAAGAAAAUGACGGUACCUGAAGAAGAAGCCCCGGCUAACUACGUGCCAGCAGCCGCGGUAAUACGUAGGGGGCAAGCGUUAUCCGGAUUUACUGGGUGUAAAGGGGGCGCAGGCGGCGAUGCAAGCCAGGAGGGAAAGCCCGGGGCCCAACCCCGGGA